rnacentral:rRNA from 1 species
CGGACGGGUGAGGAAUACAUCGGAAUCUGCCUUAUCGUGGGGGAUAACGUAGGGAAACUUACGCUAAUACCGCAUACGACCUACGGGUGAAAGCGGAGGACCUUCGGGCUUCGCGCGAUAAGAUGAGCCGAUGUCGGAUUAGCUAGUUGGCGGGGUAAAGGCCCACCAAGGCGACGAUCCGUAGCUGGUCUGAGAGGAUGAUCAGCCACACUGGAACUGAGACACGGUCCAG